rnacentral:rRNA from 1 species
GGGGGAUAGCCUUUCGAAAGGAAGAUUAAUACCCCAUAAUAUAUUGAGUGGCAUCACUUGAUAUUGAAAACUCCGGUGGAUAGAGAUGGGCACGCGCAAGAUUAGAUAGUUGGUGAGGUAACGGCUCACCAAGUCAAUGAUCUUUAGGGGGCCUGAGAGGGUGAUCCCCCACACUGGUACUGAGACACGGACCAGACUCCUACGGGAGGCAGCAGUGAGGAAUAUUGGACAAUGGGUGAGAGCCUGAUCCAGCCAUCCCGCGUGAAGGACGACUGCCCUAUGGGUUGUAAACUUCUUUUAUACUGGGAUAAACCUACCCUCGUGAGGGUAGCUGAAGGUACAGUAUGAAUAAGCACCGGCUAACUCCGUGCCAGCAGCCGCGGUAAUACGGAGGGUGCAAGCGUUAUCCGGAUUUAUUGGGUUUAAAGGGUCCGUAGGCGGACUCGUAAGUCAGUGGUGAAAUCUCAUAGCUUAACUAUGAAACUGCCAUUGAUACUGCGGGUCUUGAGUAAAGUAGAAGUGGCUGGAAUAAGUAGUGUAGCGGUGAAAUGCAUAGAUAUUACUUAGAACACCAAUUGCGAAGGCAGGUCACUAUGUUUUAACUGACGCUGAUGGACGAAAGCGUGGGGAGCGAACAGGAUUAGAUACCCUGGUAGUCCACGCCGUAAACGAUGCUAACUCGUUUUUGGGUUUUCGGAUUCAGAGACUAAGCGAAAGUGAUAAGUUAGCCACCUGGGGAGUACGUUCGCAAGAAUGAAACUCAAAGGAAUUGACGGGGGCCCGCACAAGCGGUGGAUUAUGUGGUUUAAUUCGAUGAUACGCGAGGAACCUUACCAAGGCUUAAAUGGGAAUUGACAGGUUUAGAAAUAGAUCCUUCUUCGGACAAUUUUCAAGGUGCUGCAUGGUUGUCGUCAGCUCGUGCCGUGAGGUGUUAGGUUAAGUCCUGCAACGAGCGCAACCCCUGUCACUAGUUGCCAUCAUUCAGUUGGGGACUCUAGUGAGACUGCCUACGCAAGUAGAGAGGAAGGUGGGGAUGACGUCAAAUCAUCACGGCCCUUACGCCUUGGGCCACACACGUAAUACAAUGGCCGGUACAGAGGGCAGCUACUAUGCGAAUAGAUGCGAAUCUCGAAAGCCGGUC